rnacentral:rRNA from 1 species
CGCGUGGAUAACCUGCCUCACACAGGGGGAUAACAGUUGGAAACGGCUGCUAAUACCGCAUAAGCGCACAGCACCGCAUGGUGCAGUGUGAAAAACUCCGGUGGUGUGAGAUGGAUCCGCGUCUGAUUAGCUAGUUGGCGGGGUAACGGCCCACCAAGGCGACGAUCAGUAGCCGGCCUGAGAGGGCGACCGGCCACAUUGGGACUGAGACACGGCCAG